rnacentral:lncRNA from 1 species
CCGCACCUGCAGCAUAAGGAAGAUCCCAGGCUAGGGGGCAGAGAUACAGCUGCCAGCCUACAUCACAGCCACAGCAAUGUGGUAUCCAAGCCUCGUCUGUGACCUACACCAAAGCUCACGGCAAUGCCGGAUCCCCAGCCCACAGAGGGGAUCGAAUCUGCAUCCUUGUGGAUACUGGUCAGAUUCAUUUCUGCUGGAAGAGAUAACAGUGGGGAAGUAGUAAUAUUAGAGAUAGAAAGAAGUGUAUGAAUUCAAAGGAUAUGUUGCCUAUAAGGCCAACGGGAUUUGCAGAUGAAUUAAACGGGGAGGAGUAGCGAGGAAGAGUAUGUCAAGAGUGGCUCCCAGCUCAACAUCAGGAGGACGGUAUUCGAUUUCUUGAGACUGAGAAGACACAUAUUUUGCAUAUAGAAACCAAAAUAUUUAAGUAUAUUGUGUGUGAGCUGCAUACUGGAUAUCCAAAUGGAAAUGAUGACUAGGACAGUGACCAUGAAUAUAUAGAGCUAAAGAGGGUGCUCGGGGCUGAAGCUGAAAAUAGGGCAUCUGUAACUUGGAGAUGGUGUUUAAAAACUUGGAGUUGGGGAGAUUCACUCCCAGUAUGGCUCCUACUAUUGGCCAUCUCACAGAUAAAAAGGAUAAACUCUGGAAAAAAUAACAAAAACAGGAGUUCCCACCGUGGCACAGUGGGUUAAGAAUUGGACUGCAGCAGCAUGGGUCACUGCAAAGGUGCAGGUUCGAUCCCCAGCGGAGGUCUCAGCUGUGGCUUGGAUUCACUCCCUGACCUGGGAACUUCCAUAUGCUGUGGGUGUGGCCAUUAAAAAAAUAAAUUAAAAAAACAACAACUACAUAAGGCUCUGAGAAGUAAACAAAGCAGACAGAUUCUGGAAAGGAAUUGAUGUUUGGAAAAAGACAUCAUCAUAGACGAGUUUCUCGUUUUUAUGGUUUUUAGCUUAUUUAGGAGGAAAAAAAUCAGUCUUUCUGCCCUGAAGAAUCAGAGCAAAUCUCUGUGACCCUGAACCACAACUGAUGGGGCCAACUGAAAGCUGCUCAGCUAAGGAUAAAAGACCUGAACUGAGAUUUCAGCUGCUGCCACCCAACAAAUGGAGUUUUUUGAGUUCGACCAAAUUAAUGGCUUAAAAAAAAAAAAAUCAAGUCUUUAAGGACUAUAACAGAAUCCAAAAUCUCCAUGGCAUAAAUCCUGUAAUAUCUGGAAUACAAUCUAAAAUUAUUCAACAUACAAAAAUCUAGGCAAGUGUGACUAGUAUUAAAAGAAAGACAAUCCAUGGAGAUCAACCACAAGAUGGAAUUAAGAGACUAUAAUUUUAGGGCAUCUAUUAGCAAUGCAGUAAAAGAAAGCACACUUGUAACGAAUGAGUAGAUAGGAACCUCACAAAGGAAAGGAAAUACUACCAAAAUUCAUACGGAAUUUCUAGAACUAAAAAUAGAGUAUCUGACAUCCUUUUUUAAAAAGUCACUGCAUGGGCUUAACAGACCAGAAGGAUGAUUCAAUGAACUUGAAUACAAAUCAAUAGGUAAUACACAAUCUGAAGAACAGAGGAGGAAAAAAAUUUUAAAGAACAAGAGCCUCAGUGGGACAAUAUCAAAAUGUCUAGGAGUUCCCUUGUGGUACAAUGGAUUAAGGAUCCAGUGUUAUCACUGCAGCGGCAAAGGCAAAAAAAAAAAAGGUCUAGCAUAUGUAUAAUUAGACAUGUUAAAUAAGAUCACCUAGGAGGACAGAAAAGGGGAGCAGUCUGAGGAAUAUGCCCAAAGGGGGUUCCAUUGAAGAAAAAAAAUCAACAAAUAAGAUAAAGAAGUAAUUCUUCAAUUUUCUCAUCCACCAGAAAAUCAACUUUGAUGUUUUUCUUUUCUCUUUGUCUUAUAUCUACAAACCUAGUCACCAAAAAAAGGCAGGUGACACGGAGGGACUUUCAUCUAUUAAAAGAAAUAAAGUUGCAACUUACCAACCCCUAUCCGUACUUCUGUCUCUACUCUGUUAGUAAGACCUAGCCAGUAGUAUGAAGUGUAGUAAUUUGUUAAAACAUAAAGGAAUUUACUUUCCUAGAAGUUUGUUUAUUGCUUCAUCUCACAAUGAAACUCUGUAUAGCAUUCCCCCAGGAAUUCUAUCACAAAAAGUCCCAUGAAAAAGAGAUUCCAAAAUUUUAAUCCACAAUCAGAACAAAAGUCACAUCAGACAAAAAUUAAAACAGUGACCAAAAAAAAAAAAAAAAAAAAAAUCAGAAAACCAACAAGGUUCAGAAGCUUACUGAGACCAAAGAAAAAGGAUAUUUCAAGAAAAUGAAAUCCAUUCCUGUGUGAGGCUUACAGAAGAAUAAACUUUAGCAGGUGAGAUGUAAAGCGAAGAUUAGAGAGGAUUAAAAAUGGUGUUUGAAAACAAACAGCCAAUGACAACACAACAAAUAAUAUUAAGUUCUUUAAGUACUUCGGAAAUAAGUCUGCUGCAAAGGGUUCAGUGAAUCGGCUAGACAAGCAGUGCACAAAGGAGAUAUUCAAAAGGAUGAGAAGAUUGCAGGGAAACUAAAUAAUGUAUUUGCAUCAGUUUUCACACCGAAGAAGAAGGCAGUGGAGGAAAAGGAGGAAAAACCUUAUUUCGUGAGAGAGAGGCCUGGCUCAGAUUGAGACAUCAAAGAGAACCAUGAGGCCAUGAAAUGGUGAAAGAAGAUCUUGCCAUGUUCCAGCCAAAGCAGGAGGCAUUCACCAGAGAAUGCCUGUAAUCCCUGAUUCCUUACAGCUUUAUCAUUUGCCAUUUAAAAGGCUUCCUACUGCGGUGAACUGGAAGGCAGGUUAUACUCUACCGCGGUUGGAAAAUAACCUUCAUUUCUAGAGUAGAAUGAUCUCCAUACAGCAAAAUAUGCAGCCCAUAGAUCAACCUGCUAGUUGAUCAAAAGUCAAACAAGAUUAUGCAGCGUGAAUACAGCCCCACGGAGAAUGUAUGGAAAUGGAAACAUCAUGUAUGUUUAGCGGGAGUAUAAACUGGUACCACCAGCUUUAGAGAACAUUUGUAAUAUCUAAUAAAAUUUAAAAUGUGCCCGCCAAAUGAAGUGCCAGUUUCACUGUUAGGUGCAUAUGCUAAAGGAAACUUGAGGAGAAAUUAUAAGAUUGCUAAUUG